GGGCCCAGUGCCUGCCGGGAAGGACCCCGCCGGCCCGGGCUGCCGCGCAGCGCUGCGGCGCCCCCGCCUGCCUGGCCUGGGGCCGGCCCCGCAGCCCACUGCUGCCUUCAGAAGGGAUCCUGGCGGGCGGAGACACAAAAGUCGGGAGACCUGAUUCUGCCUCUGCCACACCUGAGGCAACUCUCGCAGCCUCUCUGGGCCCAAGUUCCCUCAUCUAUAAAUAAAGCGGGACUUCCCUUGGUGUAGUGGUUAAGAAUCCGCCUGCCAAUGCAGCGGACACGGGUUCGAGCCCUGGUCCGGGAAGAUACCACAUGCCGCGGAGCAACUAAGCCCAUGCGCCACAACUACUGAGCCUGCGCUCUAGAGCCCAUGAGCCACAAUUACUGAAGACCACGCGCCUAGAGCCCGUACUCUGCAAUAAGAGAAGCCACCGCAAUGAGAAACCUGCUCACUGCACCUAAGAGUAGCCCCCGCUCCCUGCAACUAGAGAAAGCCCGUGCACAGCAACGAAGACCCAACACAGCCAAAAAUAAAUAAAAUAAAAUAAAUUAAUUUAAAAAAAUAAAAUAAAUAGAGCGGUUCAAGAAAGGACCUUAAGAGUCGCCCAUCAGAUUUGAAGUUCUGUUCAAUAAAGCGGUUCAAGAAAGGAACUUAAGAGUCGCCCAUCAGAUUUGAAAUUCUGUGUGCAAACUGUUUCCCGAGGGCAGCUGAAAGGAAGGUGAAGUCUUGGCGUCUCCCCUUUGAAGCUCAGGUGGUUGAGAGUCUGCCUGCCAAUGCAGGGGACACGGGUUCGAGCCCUGGUCUGGGAGGAUCCCACAUGCCGCGGAGCGACUGGGCCCGUGAGCCACAACUACUGAGCCUGCGCGUUUGGAGCCUGUGCUCCGCAACAAGAGGGGCCGCGAUAGUGAGAGGCCCGCGCACCGCGAUGAAGAGUGGCCCCCGCUUGCCACAACUAGAGAAAGCCCUCGCGCAGAAACGAAGACCCAACACAGCCAAAAAUAAAUAAAUAAAAUAAAUAAAAUUUAAAAAGAAUGGCUUUAAAAAAAAAAAAUGUUAAUUUCUAGUUGCCAAACUGCCAGAAGUGAGCCAGAGCUUUUUACUGUGCUCGUCACCACCAGCACCCGAGGUGGGGAUGGCACACAGAAUAGAAAAUGGAAAAGUAAGAAGCAUGUGCAGUUCUUAAAGCUUCUAGUCUGUGAGUGCCUGCUGCCCUUGCUGGUGUCUUAACCUCCCUGAGCAGCUUAUUCAUCUUAGUGUCCCCCAGUAGUGUCCAGGGUGAGUGGUCAGUAACCGAUGUUUGUUGACCACACAGAAAUGACAGCGGCACCAUCAAGAGAACAUGUGCCUUGAGCUGCUUUUCCAAGAAUGGAAACGGAUUUGCUUUGAUCCAUUCAUGUGACGGGGGCAUACUUUGUGAGGGUUAGGAAGGUAAUACAUGACUACUGAGUUUUUCAGGCAGAACAAGAGGCCUUGUCCCCCUUAGUCAGCCUCAUACUUACUUAACCCAACCAAAUUAGGGCCCAAAUGAGUCCAGUGAUUGUUCAGGGAACCUUAAAAGAGUAUGAGGGAAGAAAAAGCAGAAGAAAGUCCUUAAACUCACUGGUUCGCCCCCAGAAACCCAGACUGUACUUUUAGAGAAGUUAGAAGUAGAAUGGACUGUUGGAUCCUGUUUGACUUUGCUGUGUCUGCUGCCCUUUGUUCUCUUUCUCCUUCUUCCCUAAAUUGCUACCCGCCCCCAUUCUCCACUCGCUCCCUAAAAAGCAUUAGAGCACUUGAACGGAUGAACUCUUCUGCCUCCUGGUACACCCAGUAUCAAAGCACACAGGGGAUUCUGUUACAUGUGCUUUGAAGUCAGGUUUUUCUCUCUUAGACUAGAGCAGCUGUG